UUGUGAGCGUAGUUACACACGCACACAAACACACACACGUAUAUAAAGCUCCUGGGAUGAAGUGAACCUCACACUUCUCCAAUCCCCAAGCAAACCUUGCAAAAUGGUGAGUCUCCGCGCUCUUCUCGUGCUGGCCGUAAUGGCGGUGAUGCAGGUGUGCUUUGCCGCUGCCUGGAAUUCGCACGGCGGGCACGACGACGACGGGUACGGCGACAGGGACGACGGGUACGACAGGUACGACGGCGACCGAGACCACGGCUACGACGGCGGGUACGACGACUCAGAGCACCGCAGAUGGUGAUUGCCUGCGGAGGUGCUCGUCCUCGCGGCUCAGUGCUUGGGGACUCGGGAGUUAUAUAAAGGCUAAAAAAUGAG